AAAAAAAAAAAAAAGAGGAGGCAUACAGUGUGGAAUGGUGGACAGAAAAAAGAGAAAGUUCAGGAGAUCUGCAUCUACACUGUGAUUCUCACCUAAGCUCAAUUUUCUGCCCUAUGAAGGAUGAUGGGAAUAGUUUCACAGUGUUGUCAUGAAGGGUCAACAUGGCACUUGGAAAGCACCCAGCACAAUCCUUGUCAAAUAACCCUGGUAAUGAAGAAGAAUCCAUUUCGAGCCAAGCCCUGUGCUCUACUUACUGCAUGCUUUAACCCUCACAGCAGCCCCGCAGGGAGCUGCCAUUGCUGUCUUUCUCUACAGUGGAAAGAAAUGAUGCAAGAAGUGCCCCAAACCAUGCAGCUUGGAAAGAUGAGGACAACAGAAGGAGGCAUGGACCUACAAUGCUGUUUAAAUUUAAGUGUGUGGAAGAAAGUGAUUUCUUCGGCUCCACUGUUCUAACUACACCACCUCUGUGUUAGAGAUGAGGACUGUGGGCAACAGAGUGAUUUCAACUCCAUGGACUGGACAGCCUAUGAUCUUACAUUGGUGUAUCCCAGGCUUUCCUCAACAUCUGAUGUUCUUAUCAGCACUGCACUUGAGUCCUCCAGCCCAGUGUGCAGGAGACCAGCU
rnacentral:lncRNA from 1 species